rnacentral:antisense_RNA from 1 species
UGUCAUGGCAGCUGUGCGCGGGACACCUUCGGGUGUGCCGGGUUCCUUUGUCCCCGGUCGGCCAACCUGCGCACAGUUGCCUCCCAU